AUGGAGUCCAAAUCCUGGUUCCACACAGGACCACCCCAAAAUCAGACCAUGUGUCUGAGAGCAUUGUCCAAGCAUUUCUUGAACUCUGGCAGGCUCGGGGCCAUGACUUGUCUGGGGAGCCUGUGCCAGUGCCCAGCCACCAGUGAAGAAGCUUUUCCUAACACCCGGCCUGAACCUCCCGGACACAUUUCCGUGCCAUUAAUGAGGAAUGGCCCUUUACAGAGUAUUUCCAUUUUCGCUUUAUAUGGCUGGAGAAAAGAGCCAAAAAAAACCUCACCAGCAGACCGGGACUCGCCCAAAGCCAGUGGAGAAGGUAGUGCCGACAGUCAGCCAGCUUGCUGCCAGAGCAGGACGACUUGUGCAGAACCAGGAUUCUUCUAG
rnacentral:lncRNA from 1 species